rnacentral:misc_RNA from 1 species
UCCGGUUUGGCACCGGCAGUCCCCCCAGAGUCCCCGGCUUCACCCGCUGGCAACUGGAGGCGGGGGUUGCGCUCGUUGCGGGACUUAACCCAACAUCUCACGACACGAGCUGACGACAGCCAUGCAGCACCUGUGCUGGGACUCCGAAGAGGGGUCCUGGUUUCUCAAGACUUUCCCCUGCAUGUCAAGCCCAGGUAAGGUUCUUCGCGUUGCGUCGAAUUAAACCACAUGCUCCACCGCUUGUGCAGGCCCCCGUCAAUUUCUUUGAGUUUUAGCCUUGCGGCCGUAGUCCCCAGGCGGAGCACUUAUCGCGUUGGCUGCGGCACCGAGGGGGUCGAUACCCCCGACACCUAGUGCUCAUCGUUUACGGCGUGGACUAC